rnacentral:rRNA from 1 species
GUGGGGAAUAUUGGACAAUGGGGGGAACCCUGAUCCAGCCAUGCCGCGUGUGUGAAGAAGGCCUUUUGGUUGUAAAGCACUUUAAGCGAGGAGGAGGCUACCGAGAUUAAUACUCUUGGAUAGUGGACGUUACUCGCAGAAUAAGCACCGGCUAACUCUGCGCCAGCAGCCGCGGUAAUACAGAGGGUGCAAGCGUUAAUCGGAUUUACUGGGCGUAAAGCGCGCGUAGGUGGCCAAUUAAGUCAAAUGUGAAAUCUCCGAGCGUAACUUGGGAAUUGCAUUAGAGACUGGUAGGCUAGAGUAUGGGAGAGGAUGGUAGAAUUCCAGGUGUAGCGGUGAAAUGCGUAGAGAUCUGGAGGAAUACCGAUGGCGAAGGCAGCCAUCUGGCCUAAUACUGACACUGAGGUGAGAAAGCAUGGGGAGCAAACAGGAUUAGAUACCCCAGUAGUCC